UUAUUCUUUAUUUGCAGGUACGUUAAGUGAUUCAUGAUGGAGGCUGUGGCGUCGAUGCUCGUUCUCAGUACUGGCGAUGUGCCCCGUUUAAUGGAUCACACUGGAUUUACUGCCUCGUGUUGUACGAUAUUUCAAUAAAAUGGAGAACGAGCGCACUUACGUCCUUACCGAUCAAUUGUCUUCCCCAGAGUAUCUUUACUUGUCCUCAUCCGGUCAAGGAUUACCUUAAACCGCUAGAGUCAUAUCUAAAUCUAUAGCUCACAUUUGACCAACGUGACAACGCGCGUCUUAUUUAAAUACAUUUCAUACUUUCGAUACACGGUAAGGCUCUAUCCCAAAAUAGCGGAAAUAUAAAAGAUAAUCAAAAGAUACUGCAAAGAUAUGCAACA
rnacentral:misc_RNA from 1 species